UACGGAGGUUCCAAGCGUUGUUCGGAAUUACUGGGCGUAAAGGGAGCGCAGGCGGACAAGUCAGUCUAAAGUGAAAUUCCGGGGCUCAACCUCAGACUUGCUUCGGAUACUACUUGUCUUGAGUUCGUGAUAGGAAGACGGAAUUCAGGGUGUAGCGGUGAAAUGCACAGAUAUCCUGAGGAACACCGGUGGCGAAAGCGGUCUUCUGGCGCGAAACUGACGCUGAGGCUCGAAAGCGUGGGUAGCAAACGGGAUUAGAUACCCCUGUAGUCCCU
rnacentral:rRNA from 1 species